rnacentral:rRNA from 1 species
CCUGGCGUCAGGACUGAACGCUGGCGGCGUGCUUAACACAUGCAAGUCGAACGGGGAUAAGACAUCGGAAGAGCUGCUUGCAGAAUGGAAGAAGUCAUAUUCUAGUGGCGGACGGGUGAGUAACGCGUGGGCAACCUGCCUUAUACAGGGGGAUAACAGCUGGAAACAGCUGCUAAUACCGCAUAAGCGCACAGCGGCGCAUGACGCAGUGUGAAAAACUGAGGUGGUAUAAGAUGGGCCCGCGUCUGAUUAGCUGGUUGGGAGGGUAACGGCCUACCAAGGCGACGAUCAGUAGCCGGCCUGAGAGGGCGGACGGCCACAUUGGGACUGAGACACGGCCCAGACUCCUACGGGAGGCAGCAGUGGGGAAUAUUGCACAAUGGGGGGAACCCUGAUGCGGCGACGCCGCGUGAGUGAAGAAGUAUUUCGGUACGUAAAGCUCUAUCAGCAGGGAAGAAAAAGGACGGUACCUGAGUAAGAAGCCCCGGCUAACUACGUG